UCGGGAAUAUUGCGCAAUGGAGGAAACUCUGACGCAGUGACGCCGCGUGCAGGAAGAAGGUUUUCGGAUUGUAAACCUCUGUCAUUGGUGACGAUAAUGACGGUAGCCGAUGAGGAAGCUCCGGCUAACUACGUGCCAGCAGCCGCGGUAAUACGUAGGGAGCGAGCGUUGUCCGGAAUUACUGGGUGUAAAGGGUGCGUAGGCGGGGGACCAAGUCAGGUGUGAAAACUAUCGGCUUAACCGGUAGCCUGCACUUGAAACUGGCCCUCUUGAGUGAAGUAGAGGCAGGCGGAAUUCCCGGUGUAGCGGUGAAAUGCGUAGAGAUCGGGAGGAACACCAGUGGCGAAGGCGGCCUGCUGGGGCUUUAACUGACGCUGAGGCACGAAAGCAUGGGUAGCAAACAGGAUUAGAUACCCUGGUAGU
rnacentral:rRNA from 1 species